UACAUGUCGCACAUGUGGUACCUGAUGUGU
rnacentral:piRNA from 1 species